UUUUUUUUCUCGGAAGGGCGAGUCGGAAGGGCAACUUGAGUCAGGAAAGGCAAACGGGCAGUUGCCCGGGCAACCAGAGCAACCCCCCUGUGCACGUCCCUGGUGACAGAACUUUCACUCGUUCAUGAUAAAUUAACCUCGUCUGUGUUGCGAAGCACUAAACUGACGUCUGGAGCUUCCGUGGCCUGAGACCGGGAUCUGACGUCACCUACCAAACAACAACACAGCUGCGUGGCGAUCACUCGGAGUGCCAGCGGUGCUGAUUGCAGAACCCAUCCAAUGAAGCACCUUUGUUCAGCUCUACAGGAAAAAACAGUCCCAGCUUUCAGCGUGGCUCUUUCCUCUCCUGCACCUUACUUCUUUGCUCAGUCCUUUGUUUUAACUUUUACUCCACAACACCUGAACACUACUGACUACAGGUUCUAUCAUUCUACAGUAAUUACUGUUACAGCACAUUAUUUCAAGUCAUAAAAACACUUUUUACAUUUGUAUCCUUUUAAUAUUGAUGUUUUCAAGAUAUGAUUUUAAACUGUUAAACUGCUGCUUGUGUAUUGGAAUAGUUUCUGUGUUGUUUUGUGAUGGAUCAGACUAAAUAUACUUAAAAUACAACUACAUUCUUUUUUAUUCAGUUUCCUACGUUAAUUGGAUAUUGCAUGAUCUAAACUUAACAAAAUAUGAUACAGAAAAAAUGAAGAUGGUAGUUAUAGACAUUUUGCAUAUACAGGAUGUUAGUAGAAAGUAAAAAAUGAAAUGCUGAUGUUAUAUGCUGGUUCUAAUUGGACGGUUCUUCGCAUCAACAUAGAUAAAACAUCUUUGAGCACCGACAAUGAUAGGAAGGGGUCUAGUCAGCUUUCUUAAGAGAACAGGGGCGAGUUCAGCGCCGACAAAACGUAGCAAAACGUUUUUUUCCACGGAAACGGUGGUGCCUUGAACACCCUGCUGUGUACGCAAGCGCUCUGAAUUUUCUUGCCUUUCCAACGCCGACCGUUGUGUUUACAAACUUGUGGCAGCUGAUUUGGUGUAAGACGAGCCCACCAAACGCGAGAAAACAUACCUCGAAGCCCGUUGCAGAACGUUGCGCAACGUUGCAAGGAAACAUGUCAUUCAGUCAGAAAACGUUGCAAAACGUUUUGAGAUUGAACUCCCCCCAGGGCUGAUGGGGGAGGCUUCAGGAGUUAACUAACUCCAGAAGAUGGCAGUGAUGCGACACCAUGGAUGCAACCUACCGUUUAAUGUCAAAGAGGAAGAAGGAGUGUCCGUUCCCAUAAUGCAUAGCGUCGUACGGCACUUUAUAAAACCAUGCGUGACUCCCUCUCUGCCUCUCUGUUCUGCGGCGGCGAGGCUUUCUGUCGAACAUGCUGUUGUGGCAGAGCGGCAGCCAUGGGACAGAGCUACCAGGCCCCCGUGUUUUCUUCAGGACUCAGACAGAGGUGCUGAGCUGCUUGCUGUGGAGCUGACAGUCAUGCUGCAGGCUAACUGAAGGGGCAUGUGGAGCAGCUGGUCUGCAGGGGGCAGCAAAGAGCUGAGCCUGAGCCAGUGUAAUGGUGCAAGGCUGGUCUGGAUUACUGGAAAAGCUCCUGUCUCAGUCCACCUGCUGGGAUGUGACUGGGCUGCUGCCAGUCACCGGUAAACCCUACAGCCUGUGUGAAACACUGACGUAGGGUUUGAGCUGAGCCGAAUGAAGCACAGUUGCUGCGGCUUGUCACCUGACUGACAAUAGAAUUUAACCUGGGUGAAGUGUAUAAAACCAAUUUGUACCGGGCUAUAAACAUGUGGAGAACUCUGCUUCCAGGGUUCUCGCUUACACUAGGCCAUGGCAGCUUCACUGGCGCCCGGUAAAAUUCCCCAGCACCUAUAAAUCUCUCUACAUGCCACUGCCCCAUGUAAGGGCUUGCUCUGUGUCUGGCGCAUAGAUAAGAUGCCUGCCUUUGGUGUGUGAGACCUGGGUUCAAUUCCCACUGAGACAUCACCAUUGUGGAGCAAGACACUUAACCCCUAGUUGCUCCAGAGGCAUGCCACCUCAUGUAUAGCAAUUGUAAGUCGCUUUGGAUAAGCGUCAGCUAAAUGAAUAAAUGUAAAGUCUAUCCUAAAUGUACACCUGUACCAUGUACAGGUGUUUGAAUAAAACUUUGCAGCAUCA